CAGUCGCCGCGUAAUACGAAGGGUGCAAGCGUUAAUCGGAAUUACUGGGCGUAAAGCGAGCGUAGGUGGCUUGAUAAGUCAGAUGUGAAAUCCCCGGGCUUAACCUGGGAGCUGCAUCUGAUACUGUUAGGCUAGAAUAGGUGAGAGGAAGGUAGAAUUCCAGGUGUAGCGGUGAAAUGCGUAGAGAUCUGGAGGAAUACCGAUGGCGAAGGCAGCCUUCUGGCAUCAUAUUGACACUGAGGUUCGAAAGCGUGGGUAGCAAACAGGAUUAGAUACCCCCGUAGUCCCUGUCUCUUAUACA
rnacentral:rRNA from 1 species